rnacentral:rRNA from 1 species
GGGUGAGUAACGCGUAUGCAACCUGCCCGUUUCAGCGGGAUAACCCGGAGAAAUCCGGCCUAAUACCGCAUGUGGCCGAGGGGAGGCAUCUUCUUUCGGCCAAAGGAGGCGACUCCGGAGACGGAUGGGCAUGCGUGACAUUAGCUUGUUGGCGGGGUAACGGCCCACCAAGGCGACGAUGUCUAGGGGUUCUGAGAGGAAGGUCCCCCACACUGGUACUGAGACACGGACCAGACUCCUACGGGAGGCAGCAGUGAGGAAUAUUGGUCAAUGGGCGAGAGCCUGAACCAGCCAAGUCGCGUGAAGGAUGACGGCCCUACGGGUUGUAAACUUCUUUUGUCAGGGAGCAAUUGAGUCCACGUGUGGGCUUAGCGAGAGUACCUGAAGAAAAAGCAUCGGCUAACUCCGUGCCAGCAGCCGCGGUAAUACGGAGGAUGCGAGCGUUAUCCGGAUUUAUUGGGUUUAAAGGGUGCGUAGGCGGAAUAUCAAGUCAGCGGUAAAAAUUCGGGGCUCAACCCCGUCGUGCCGUUGAAACUGAUGUUCUUGAGUGGGCGAGAAGUAUGCGGAAUGCGUGGUGUAGCGGUGAAAUGCAUAGAUAUCACGCAGAACUCCGAUUGCGAAGGCAGCAUACCGGCGCCCAACUGACGCUGAAGCACGAAAGCGUGGGUAUCGAACAGGAUUAGAUACCCUGGUAGUCCACGCAGUAAACGAUGAAAGGUAAUUGUUCGGG